UGGGGAAUCUUGGACAAUGGGGGCAACCCUGAUCCAGCCAUGCCGCGUGAGUGAUGAAGGCCUUAGGGUCGUAAAGCUCUUUCGCCUGUGAAGAUAAUGACGGUAGCAGGUAAAGAAACCCCGGCUAACUCCGUGCCAGCAGCCGCGGUAAUACGGAGGGGGUUAGCGUUGUUCGGAAUUACUGGGCGUAAAGCGCACGUAGGCGGACCAGAAAGUUGGGGGUGAAAUCCCGGGGGCUCAACCCCGGAACUGCCUCCAAAACUAUUGGUCUAGAGUUCGAGAGAGGUGAGUGGAAUUCCAAGUGUAGAGGUGAAAUUCGUAGAUAUUUGGAGGAACACCAGUGGCGAAGGCGGCUCACUGGCUCGAUACUGACGCUGAGGUGCGAAAGUGUGGGGAGCAAACAGGAUUAGAUACCCUGGUAGUCCACACCGUAAAACGAUGAAUGCCAGUCGUCGGGGUAGCAUGCUAUUCGGUGACACACCUAACGGAUUAAGCAUU
rnacentral:rRNA from 1 species